rnacentral:lncRNA from 10 species
CAGCACAGAAGAUAGCACUCGUCACUGUGGUUGGGGAAAUUGCACGGUGAAAGUCACAGGAUGGCUCUGCAAGGGGGCAGGGACAUCAGACUGGGGUCACGUUCCCAUGUGGUAUUCUGCGCCUGUAACUCAUAUGACACUCUGGCACUAUUUCUAAAUAACACUCAAGUGUCUGUUUUAUCAGAGUAUAACACACUUGGCUGGAAUAGUUCACUUACUGAUAUUCCACAAUUUAUGUAACCAGUUCCAUAUUAUGGGAUAUUUAUUUAGGUUAGUGCUACUUUU